rnacentral:rRNA from 1 species
UACGUAGGGGGCAAGCGUUGUCCGGAUUUACUGGGCGUAAAGCGCCUGUAGGCGGCCUGUCAAGUCCGGCCUGAAAGCCCCCCGCUCAACGGGGGAGGGUGGCUGGAAACUGGCAGGCUUGAGGGCGAGAGAGGAGGGUGGAAUUCCUGGUGUAGCGGUGGAAUGCGCAGAUAUCAGGAGGAACACCAAUAGCGAAGGCAGCUCGCUGGGACGUUACUGACACUGAGGUGCGAAAGCGUGGGGAGCAAACAGG